GGAGGAGACCCGCGGAUGAAGGGCGCCCGGAUGGGAAGGCAUCUUCUGGGAAAGGCCAUCAGCAUCAGAUAAGAUCUUCAAACCCCAGGGUCGAUGAGAUCCCCAUCUUUGCUCCUCAAGCCUGGUUUCCACACAGCUGGAGGUGCAAAUUAUUUAUUGAUUGUAUUUUUGGCUGCAGCACACAGCCCUGCAGGCACCUUUACAAGCCACAGACAAAGAAGGCCUGGCCCUCAGGGUAUGAUUUACCACCUACAAAAAACCCCCAAGAGCACAGUGCGUUCAUGCACACACAAGAAAGCAGCAGGUUCCAAAAGUUAAAAGGAACUAGAAACUACUGGCUCACUAAAUGGUGAACUUCUAGAUGCUUUUCAGUGCCCGCAGAGAAAUUGAUAUUUCUAUCUUGAGCUGGGCUGUGAGUUCCCCAAGAGCAACACCUCUGUAUUUCUGCAUUGCUGGGACGGCCCUGAGCUAUGCCACACCCGGAUGGCACAAGUUAGGGCCUCAGUAAUGGUUGGGGGUGUGAGGAGAGCCACCUUGGGGGUGGUGGAGGAUUUGCCCUUGUAAAGCAGCAGGAAGGCUGAGGAAAGCACGGGGUUUUCAUGGACAUGGUUUGUCCUGGAGACCGAGGGCUUCAGGGGGACCAGAUGCUCUGAUGGUCUUAGACUAGGGGUGGAAGAUGGGGAAGCGCCCCGCCUGCCAAGGUGUGAGCCACGGCCAUCUCGGCGCUGUCCUCACCUCAGCGGCUACAUUUAGGUUCCUCAGAGUGAGGGCCCCGGGGAGCUUCGCAAUCUCUGGACGGGCUCCCACCACCUGCCGCUCCCAAGGCGGCCUGGAUUCCUCCUGAGUUUCUUUGUGUUUGGGUUUUGGCGUCUGCCUUGACAAACGUGGAGCGCCCUAAGCUCUCCUGCUGCGGCUGCUCGUCUCUCUUUCUGGAUGUUUCCAACUUGAAAGCUGGAGGGGAUUUUUCUUUUAAUCACUUCACAUUAAAAAAAUAUGAAUUUAAUAACUUCCCAGUUUAACAUUUUAUUUUCUAAGGCCUCUGAGUACCCCAGUCUGACAGAAUGCCUAGAAAAAUAAGGUGCUUAAUAGACCUCGGUUAAUUGGCAGCCCAUGAGCUUUCUGCUUUCAGACAUUCUCAUUGUUCUCCAGAGGGGACAGGACAUUACUCAGUUCCUCAGAGGACAAGGCAUUCUCCUCUCAGGAGACAACAAUUCUGGAACGGCAGGGGCCUGGUCUGAUUCGCUUGUACCUUCUUGUCGUCUAGCUGAGCACCAGGCUCACUGAGGACACCAAGCUUGUUAAAUAACAAGGUGCCACCGUCAGCCCUGUGCCACUGGCUCGGGUAGAGGCUGUCUCUGGAGGAGAUUCGGAUGACAUCAGGAGGGCAUUGGCAGCCAUAAAGACCCUGGGGUGCUUGGCAUAGUACAAAGUACACAGGCUUGGGGUUCUGUGGAAGGUUGUUUCCAUGGUGGCCAUCAAAAUCCUGGCCAGUCCUUAGGCCUUGUUGACAUGUGACUUUGUCUCUCCUCUCCUCCAAAGGUGGAGUCCAAGGCCCCUCCCCUGGGGUCUGGGAUGGCCUCUCAUUCUGCUCUGACCAACAGAAGUUGAAGAAGCGAUGUGUUUUCACAUUCAAAGUUCGUGAGGCUUUAGUCUACCUUUGGUUUCCAUUUUUGCUCUCUUGGAGCCCUGAGGUGCCACAGAAAGUCCCUCUAUCCUGUUGGAGAAACCACAUGAGGCAGAGAGAUCCUGGAGAAUGAGGGUCCAUGAGAAUGAGAGUCCAUGAGAGAAGAGAGACCAUUGAGAAUGAAGGUCCUCGAGCAGCGAGGGCCAGGCUGAGGGCAGACCUAUGAGUGAGGCCAUCUUGGAUCUCACUCAUCACAAACCUGAAGCCACCUGCAGAAGCCAUGCAGUGCCCUGGGGGAUAGGGACAAGCAUUCCAGCCGAGCCCCGCCUGUCUAGCCCAGGGACUGUGGGCAAACAAAACGGUUUUUGUUUUAAGCCACGAAGUUUGGGGCUAGGUUGUCAUGCAACAAUAGAUAACAUAUAAACUGACCUAAAUUCUAAUUUCAGUUCUGCACUUUCUAACUGUGUGACUGUGGGCAUAUGGUUUUCAGCCCUUCCCCUCAUACACAAAAUGAAGAUAAUAAUGCCUGCCCGGUAAAACAGCUAACACAUGUGCUCUGGAGCACCUUGCCACCAACACUGCCUCCUCUGGACUUGCCCACAAGCCAGAUGAGGAACCCAGAAACCCCGGAACCUGGAGUUUGCAGUUAACAGAAGGUCAAGGCCAGGGUCAGAGUGCAAGGCACCGGUCACGUUUGAGCUGAAGCUAAGAAGGGGCUUGAGCUCCUGGCAGGCAGCGGAGGCUGGGCCACAGAGCAGGGAGACACAGCAGAGCUGACGACGAGGCCAACAACACGAGGGGAGAGCGUGGCUGGGAGGCGGCCCUGAGCCCAAGCGCGGUUCCCAUCAAGUCACAGCCUCCCAAGCCGCGAGGGCCAUGCUUACGGCUUGCCACUUGGGCCCCAAAUGCUGUCUAGUUGCCUUUCUGUCACCUGACUUUGAGUCACUUUUCUGUUCUUUAUCAGCCUUCUCCAAAGUACUGAAUGGGCAGAUAAAAGAGGGAAUGUAAAUUGCUCAAUCGUGGUAUUUUAAUUGAGAAGUUUAGGGGAAAUAUCUAGGUUAUUUAUGAAGGUCGAUCUUCUGUGUCGUUCACCCCCUCAGAAUCGUGAAAGUUUUGCCGGGCUGGGUGAUUACAGAACUGAAGAAUGAUGAGGGCAGAAAGAUACCUGGAGCCCAGCGAACCCAGCUCCUGCAUUUGAAAAAGAUUUAGGGAUCCUCUUGCCACGUUGCAUGGCAUCCGUCUGUUCCUUGCGCUAGACUGGGGUCCUCCUGAUCACAUGUGACGCCUGUUUCCUCCGAGCCUGGCACUGUGCCUGGCACAUGGAAGUCAGACAUUAAAAACCCUCCAAUGGCAGAGAGAUCACCCCCCUGGAGCCUCCAUUCCACCAGCAAGCAGCUUUACCUGUUGAGCCGAGUCUCUCUCCGUGUAACAGUUUUCACAAGGCAAACCGGAAAGUCUAAGAAUGCUGUUACGUUAGAAGAGUAAGUAAGGCUCACAACAUCCUUAGGAAAGGAUUUUAUGAUAUUCCAAUUGCCAGGAUGAAGAGAUGUGGGCAGGAAGGAUGCUUUAAUGGUCAGCUGGAUUGUCGACUGGUUGAACAUGUUCUACCUAAAGAGCCCUGAUUCACUGAUCAAACUAAAUCAGCAUCGGAUAGGAGUUGCCGCUAGUCCCUGGUCUCCUUCUCUGGGUUUAUGUGAAACCAGGAACUUGGACAGGCCACUGAGAUUGUGACAAACAAGCCCACGAGGGGCAUGAAGCUGGGAGGGACAGCUCCAUACCCUGGAUGAGAAAUCAUUAUCCUGAAGUAUAUUGAUAUUCUAAACAAUCACUGAAUACAAGAAGAUACAUUUUAAAAGAGAUAAACACAACAUCCUGCCCUUUAGUCGUCUCAAAAUCAGCUGUGUGAAUCCAAGAGACAUGAAAGUGAUUGAGUCCGGAGGUUGCACGUGGAAAGAGAGAGAAGUUUUACUUGUGAAAGAGACUUGAUGCAAGACAAAGGGUUGUAUACCUAUGGAAAAAGUUUGUGUGAUCUUAGGUUGCAUCAGCAGAAGCACAGCUUCCAAAAUCAGUCUGGUAAUCCUCUUUCCUAUGCUUGUCAGACUUGUCCUAGAAUAUAAUGCUCGCUUUGUGGGCGCCAUAUGUAUGACAGACCAGUGCCUAUACAGAAGCAACCGGGGAAUGGUGACAAAGCUUGAAACCUUAUCGUAAGAGAGAUCGUUAAAGAGUGUGGAUGUUUGCCUGGAAAAGACUCUAUACCUUAUCGGGGCUUCUGGAAAGUUGGAUAAAAUCACCAUUUUAUUCUAAUAGACAAAGCACCCUGAGGACAGAAUCACAAUCGCCUUCCAAGUGAGAACUUUAAAGCUCAAGCUUUUAAAAUGGAUCUGCUGGAAUCUGUAGUUCUUAAUCUGCCUUCAUCGGCAGGGUUGGGAAGUCUCUUGAGCUGCUGAAGGAAAUGCCAGAACCAUUCCCCAGAAAAAUCACAGCAACUUAAUAAUUUGCAAAAUUUUCAGGUUUCUGGAUCCAUCUGAGGCCUGCACAUCCCGUGCUGAGAAUCCCUGAUGGGAAUAAUGGGAGGCCAAAUGGAUUAAUCUUGCACGUGUCAUAUUGUCGGAAAGCACACAGCCCUCAUUAUAUGAGGUCAUCGUAUCGCAUUCCUUGGAAUAUCUAUUCAUUUCCUUCUGCCUGUUUUCUCUGUUCCACAGAAGCAAAUGUCAUAAAGCCAUUGCCUGAAAUUGCUAAGAGUGAAGGGGGCUUCUUCGGUGGUUUUUAUUUCACUUUCUCACCUUCAGAGAGCCAAAGGCCAUUUAAAUCCUUUUCUCUUCCAGUCAAUUCCCCUUCAUCUAUUCCUUAAUACUUUUUUCACUUCCUUCUAGUUUCUCCUCUCCCACCUCUCCUUCCUCAAUAAGCAAAAAAAAAUAUAAGGGUGGUAAAGGUGUUCACGGAUGAGGGGCAUGAUCAGAGGAAGCUGGGACCAGCCAGGGGCUCUUUAUGUUUCUUCCCUGACCUUUGACCCCUCCUGCCCCUGUCCACCUGCCCUGUGCCCUCCGCUAGUCCCCACCUUUCCUCUAGAAUUCCAAAGAUCCCGAGACGCUCAAAUAGAAGCUUCCGUGCAAUAGCCGCACGACUUCAUCACACAAGAGAUUUGGGGGUGUUGAGAUGGUGAUUACUCAUGUUGGUCCUUUUAUGAUAAAAUUCUGAGCUUUGAUAAAAUACGCCAUGAUUUCAACGAAGAUUAUCCACUACCUUGAAUUGUAACUCAGUUUAAUUAAUUGUCUGCCUUGACUGUAUACAAACUGAUUAAAGAUUUCUGAGAGGCCAAGACCUCAUGCUA